GACGAACGCUGGCGGCGUGCUUAACACAUGCAAGUCGAACGGAAAGGCCCUGCUUUUGUGGGGUGCUCGAGUGGCGAACGGGUGAGUAACACGUGAGUAACCUGCCCUUGACUUUGGGAUAACUUCAGGAAACUGGGGCUAAUACCGGAUAGGAGCUCCUGCUGCAUGGUGGGGGUUGGAAAGUUUCGGCGGUUGGGGAUGGACUCGCGGCUUAUCAGCUUGUUGGUGGGGUAGUGGCUUACCAAGGCUUAGACGGGUAGCCGGCCUGAGAGGGUGACCGGCCACAUUGGGACUGAGGUACGGACCAGACUCCUACGGGAGGCAGCAGUGGGGAAUAUUGCACAAUGGGCGGAAGCCUGAUGCAGCAACGCCGCGUGCGGGAUGACGGCCUUCGGGUUGUAAACCGCUUUCGCCUGUGACGAAGCGUGAGUGACGGUAAUGGGUAAAGAAGCACCGGCUAACUACGUG
rnacentral:rRNA from 1 species